CUGGAGGGUUAAGAAAGUAGAACCAGUGAAGUCUGUUGGCUCUACUGAUACUGUCCUCCUAAAUUAAGUGGUGGAAGAACAAGGUCUUAAUAUGAGAUCAAGAUAGGCCUUACUACUAUCUGCCAACAAUA